rnacentral:rRNA from 1 species
GUGAGGAAUAUUGCGCAAUGGAGGCAACUCUGACGCAGCCAUGCCGCGUGCAGGAAGAAGGCGCUACGCGUUGUAAACUGCUUUUAACCGGGAAGAAACCCCAGGACGUGUCCUGGGUUGACGGUACCGGAGGAAUAAGCACCGGCUAACUUCGUGCCAGCAGCCGCGGUAAUACGAAGGGUGCAAGCGUUAUCCGGAUUCAUUGGGUUUAAAGGGUGCGUAGGCGGAGCGUUAAGUCAGUGGUGAAAUCCUGCAGCUUAACUGUAGACUUGCCAUUGAUACUGGCGCUCUUGGGUGAGCUUGAAGUGGGCGGAAUGUGCCGUGUAGCGGUGAAAUGCUUAGAUAUGGCACAGAACACCAAUUGCGAAGGCAGCUCACUAAGGCGAUACUGACGCUGAGGCACGAAAGCGUGGGGAUCGAACAGGAUUAGAUACCCUAGUAGUCC